rnacentral:lncRNA from 1 species
CUGUAAAGCAGAGCUCACCUUCAAGGAAAACAUGGCUGCACGUGGCUGUCUGUCUUUCCACAAAGUGGCCUCAAGUGCCUGCUUGUUGAGGAGCUUCAGAGAAUGGGAAACCGGAACGAAUUUGGACCAGUCCAAAGCUAUUGUUUUCCAAGAGAAGAUAAUCCUCAGUAAAGUAAUGUCUCCUGGCUCAAGUCAUCACCCAGGCCAGUGAAUUUCUUUCUGUGGAAAGGAAAAAAUGGAGGAAUAAACAAAACACAGCAUGCAAGAAAUAAGGAUUCUCAUUCCACUUGAGUGUAGUUUGAUGCUUCAAGAGGAUACAAUGCAACAUGGGUCAUGGAAAACCAAAACAUCCAUGCUUGAGUCGGAGAUGUCCAGCAGUGGCCAUGAGCAGGUAGGUUCCAUACUUUGGCACUCGAAUAUUACCAAAAUAUAAGAUGAGGUGACAAAAAGGUAACCAGUAUGUGAUUCUUGGGAUGAUGCUUCUUCCGUUUGGUUUUUAAAACUCUUCCUAGAGUGACGUGAUGUGUGCUCAAUAAACACAAUGAUCCCUAUGUAUUAUGUAAUGCCAGAUUAACUGCCCAUUGGUAAUUAAAAGUGGGAAGAUCUUCCCAUCCCACCAAAUACUGUUGACCUUUAUCAAAUGGCUAGAUCAGUGUAUAUUUGAAAUAAUACCCUGCUGG